UCCGGUGUGGUGUAUCGGCUAACAUUACCGCCUCUCAGUGGAACCACGUGCUUUACGUAAGCUUCGCUGCGCGGUAGCGCGGGGUUCGACUCCCCGCACCGGAA